rnacentral:rRNA from 1 species
GACGAACGCUGGCGGCGUGCUUAACACAUGCAAGUCGAACGGAAAGGCCCUGCUUUUGUGGGGUGCUCGAGUGGCGAACGGGUGAGUAACACGUGAGUAACCUGCCCUUGACUUUGGGAUAACUUCAGGAAACUGGGGCUAAUACCGGAUAGGAGCUCCUGCUGCAUGGUGGGGGUUGGAAAGUUUCGGCGGUUGGGGAUGGACUCGCGGCUUAUCAGCUUGUUGGUGGGGUAGUGGCUUACCAAGGCUUUGACGGGUAGCCGGCCUGAGAGGGUGACCGGCCACCUUGGGACUGAGAUACGGCCCAGACUCCUACGGGAGGCAGCAGUGGGGAAUAUUGCACAAUGGGCGGAAGCCUGAUGCAGCAACGCCGCGGGCGGGAUGACGGCCUUCGGGUUGUAAACCGCUUUCGCCUGUGACGAAGCGUGAGUGACGGUAAUGGGUAAAGAAGCACCGGCUAACUACGUG